GGGCCCUGCCGGGACCACACUUGCAUUGAUGUUUGCCUGGAUGUGGCCAGUCUCCGUAUGCCUCCCAGGACUGCAUCUUGACCCCUCAGCCAGGCUGGAUGCUCCCAGAGAACGCCUGUUUGCUCUUCUUCCAUCUCCAUCACCUCCAUCCUCCCAAACCCAGAACAGAGUAUGAGCCCAAUAGACCUCACAAAUGACCCACGACACUCGAGUCCCACCCCAAUCUCUACACAACACUGCUGUGCGGGCAUUUCCACAUGGCCCUGAGGACCAGCUCCACACUCCUCAAAGCGGUUCCUGACCCAGACAAGACUAAGAACCAGUGCCAGCCG
rnacentral:lncRNA from 1 species